CCUCUCUCAGGGUCACAGCUGGAGAAUUGCCAGUAUCCUACCAGUCUUGAAUAAGGGAGGGAGAGUCAAGCAGAGGCAUAUCCAUUCCAUUCCUAGAUUGGGCAGUGGCUAGGGAGUGGAAGACAAUCUACUACAAGU